rfam:Sphingobium sp. EP60837 chromosome 2, complete sequence.
CCGGAUGCCGGCAGGGUCCGGUAUGGAGAGCGCCCGCUCUCUCGGGCGCAUCUUCAUAGACUUGUUGCUCAAUGGAGGACUUGGAUAUGAGGA